rnacentral:rRNA from 1 species
CCCUUAGAUGUUCUGGGCUGCACGCGCGCUACACUGAAGCUAUCAACACGUUUUCCCUCCCUGAGAAGGGCGGGUAACCUUUUGAAUCAGCUUCGUGGUAGGUAUCGGGGCUUGCAAUUGUUCCCCGUGAACCAGGAAUUCCUAGUAGACGCGAGUCAUAAGCUCGCAUCGAUUAAGUCCCUGCCCUUUGUACACACCGCCCGUCGCUACUACCGAUUGAACGUUUUAGUGAGGCAUUUGGACCGACGCAUCUCAGUUUAACCGCUGGUUUGUGUUGGAAAGACUUCCAAACUUGAGCGUUUAGAGGAAGUAAAAGUCGUAACA